AAUGAACGCUGGCGGCAGGCCUAACACAUGCAAGUCGAGCGGAUGGAGGGAGCUUGCUCCUGGAUGCAGCGGCGGGCGGGUGGGUAAUGCCUAGGGAUCUGCCUGGUCGCGGGGGAUGACGUCCGGAAACGGGAGCUAAUAAUGCAUACGACGAGAGGGAGAAAGUGGGGGGUCUUGGGAGCUCACGCUUUCUGAUGAGAGUAGGUGGGAUUAGCUAGUUGGUGGGGUAAAGGCCUACCAAGGCGACGAUGCGUAACUGGUCUGAGAGGAUGAUCAGUCACACUGGAACUGAGACACGGCCCAGACUCCUACGGGAGGCAGCAGUUGGGAAUAUUGGACAAUGGGCGAAAGCCUGAUCCAGCCAUGCCGCGUGUGUGAAGAAGGUCUUCGGAUGGUAAAGCACUUUAAGUUGGGAGGAAGGGCAGUAAGUUAACACCUGGCUGUUUUGACGUUACCAACAGAAUAAGCACCGGCUAACUUCGUG
rnacentral:rRNA from 1 species